rnacentral:rRNA from 1 species
CCUACGGGUGACAGCAGUGGGGAAUAUUGGGCAAUGGGCGCAAGCCUGACCCAGCAACGCCGCGUGAAGGAAGAAGGCUUUCGGGUUGUAAACUUCUUUUCGCAGGGACGAAGCAAGUGACGGUACCUGAGGAAUAAGCCACGGCUAACUACGCACCAGCCGCCGCGGUACUACGUAGGGGGCCAGCGUUCUCCGGAUUUACUGGGUGUAAAGGGCGUGUAGGCGGGGCAGCAAGUCAGAUGUGAAAGCCACGGGCUCAACCUGUGGCCUGCAUUUGAAACUGUGUGGCUUGAGUGCUGGAGAGGCAGAUGGAAUUCCUAGUGUAGCGGUGAAAGGCGUAGAUAUUAGGAGGAACACCAGUGGCGAAGGCGGUCUGCUGGACAGCAACUGACGUUGAGGCGCGAAAGCGUGGGGAGCAAACAGGAUUAGAUACCCCUGUAGUC